rnacentral:rRNA from 1 species
CGUGGCCGAGGUGAUCCCAAGAGAUUCCUGUCGGCGCUGGCGGCCUUCUACGACCACUUCGAGCCAGGCGAGCCGGCACCCGGCGGCGUGCUCCUGAUCACGUGCCCCAAGUUUGGAACCACGUGGCUAAAGGCCCUCGCCUUCGCCACUACACACCGCGCCGCUCACCCGCCGUCUUCGGCCAACCACCCGCUCCUUGAUCACAACCUGGACGAUUGCGUCAGGUUCCUCGAAGGCGUCUUCUUUAGCCACUCCAACAACGAGGCUCACGACGUCCUCACCGCGGCGUUCCCAUCCCUGCGGUGCGUGCUCGCCACACACUGAGCUAACUCCCAACUGCCGGACCGCUUCACUAGCGGCUGCCGGAUCGUGUACAUCUGCCGGGAGCCCAAGGACGUGCUAGUGUCGUGGUACUGGUUCCUCAAGAAGGUAAUCGCCUACAACGCCGUCCCCGACCUCGACAUCGCCGAGCUCUUCGAGUUGUUCUGCGAGGGCCAAAACAGAUGCGGGCCGGUGUGGCGGCAGGCGGCCGAGUACUGGGAGGCUAGCAGGGAGAGCUCGGACAAUGUGUUCUUCCUCGGGUACGAGGAGAUGUUGUGCGAUGCGUCGGGCAACGUCUGGAGGCUAGCUAAGUUCCUCGGGUGCCCAUUCACGGCGGGGGAGGUGGACACCAGUGUGGUGGGCGCCAUCCUGGAGCUGUGUAGCCUGGAGAAGCUGCGAAACCUGGAGGUGAACAGGAACGGCGCGCCAGGCAUGACCAUUGUCUCCAACGACGCCUUCUUCUGGAAGGACAUGCUCAGUUACUGGCUCAGCCACAUGACGCCGAAGAUGGCAUCGAGGCUGGAUGGGAUCGUCGAUGACGCCCUACAUGACAUGGGCUUCUCGUUCGUCAACUCUGGCCACGUGAAAGAAGGCGGUGCAUCGUAG